CCCGGGGCCCGAGCCCUUCCCCUGAGUAAGGUGCAGCUUCAAGCUGCCCGACGGCGGCAUGUGCAGGAGGAGAGCCAGGAGGAUCCGGCAACCAAGCGACAUGGUUCGGGAGGCUCUUUAAAACAAACUCUCGGACUGGUGUUCUUGCAGCUCUCUGCGCAGUAUCAGUCUUCGGACCCGCCUGUUCCUCUCUUCCACCGAGAGGUGCACAGUUACACCGAAAGAAAACGCAACGAUUCGAUCACAAAAACAGUUGCAUAGCGGGAUCCGCACUCGGGCGCCAACAACUCCACCGCCACCAAAUGGAUUAGGCAGACAACACAGUCGCCAUGUGACCCAGUGUCCAACUCGUGAAGUUAUGAACUUAGUGAGAUGUUAAAAGUGUCGGAGAGAGGGAAAAAAAAAGAGGCGAUCGUGUGCUUGGGGGAAAAAAACGCAGACAUCCGUUUGUAGUUUUUUUUAAAAAAAGGUGGAGAAAUGCAGGUUGUUGUCAUGGUGACGCUGAGUUUGAACAAGGAUCCCAGGAGACGGGAUGUGGGCGUUUCAUUGAGAAACAAAAGCGACAAAGCGAAAGGGAGACAGCCUGUAACCUUAAGCUGCAGCGGCUUGGAGCGAGAAAGCACUUGUUAGCGAAACAACCCAGGCAGAAAUUACAAGAUGUUCCCAGAUUGUGUAGUUAGUUUGAAUGAGAACAAAUUUCACUUUCAUGACUAACAUUUUAAUUUAUAAAUUACUUGGGUACAGUCUGAUCAUCAGAAAAAUAAUAUCCAUUCUACAAUUGUUACUCUGAUUUCAGAAAUUUAUGUAUAUUUUCUGGUCUCCGUUUCAAUUCUGAAAUAAUAUUCCUGUCUUUGACUCAGUUAAUUUGUUUCAUACAAAAAUUAGUGCCAAGGUCCAACUGUUGUGUAUGUUUCGCUACACGGAAGUUAAAAGCGUAACUUUAUUUAAUAACCCGUUUGAUUAGCCUUGUUAAGGUAGAAAUUAAAUAAUAAUUCAAACCCAAGAAAUGAUUCGGAUACAAAUCUGUGCCAUAAUUUGGAGAAUUAAAAACAAGUAUCUAAAUCUUGGAGCUAGUUCCUAUGCACAUAAACGACUAAAGGAAUUAAUGAAAGGGAGGGAUAUUCCGCAUUUUGAAGAUGCUGUUACUUCUGUUAAUCCAUACAUCACACAAUCGAACCGCCACCGCUCUUCUGAGGCCUUCCGCGAUCUACCUUUCACUUUGAGAAUAAAAAAAGAUAGUUGCCCUUCCUAUAUUCAUAUGGGGGGGGGGGAUAGAGAAAGGUUCGAAUGAUGGAAUCUCUGGAACUGAAAUAAAUUAUAUGUAUUACUCCU